rnacentral:lncRNA from 1 species
ACCCCAUUUAAGCUUUACUAGCUUUUCCAUUAAUGUCUUUUUUUUUUUGGCUCCAGGAACUGAUUCAGAAUCCCAUAUCACAUUUUGUUAUUACUUUUGCCUGGUCUCCUGCUGUCUGGAACAGUUUUUCAGUCUUCCUUCAUUUUCAAGAGUGUGAAAGGAUCCCAAGACCAAAAGUCUGGGAACUGCUGGUUUAGAGUCACAAUACUGACUGCUCAAAAUGACUUUUUAAAGAAGAAAGCCUUAAAAACCCUUGAGUGAAUGGUUGGUAUUUACAGACAAGCAAAUGUAUGGAAGAAAAACAAGAGACCCAGCCUGAAUCUGUUGAAUGAACGAAAGGGGAAAUGCCCUAAGGAGUCAGAUGGAAGAAGUUUUUCUGGGAAGAGCAGAACACAGGAGCUGGGGUGCAGACCUCCUGGAUCACCAGCAGAAGGAAAAGAGCAGCGAGACGUUAAAGUGAUUGAGACAAAAAUGGAAGUAAAACAGCUUAAGGCUUUCUGAGAUCGAGUUCCUGGCAGUGUCAUCAGCAGAUGGUUUCUUCGGAAGUUCAGGGGAAGAGAAGAUGCUCGAAGAACUCUCCAGGGACUGAGUGGGUGGUACAGAGCUAGUGCUGUAGAUGCCACGUAUACAGGCAAAUUCCCCAAUGAGUGUUUUCCAAUAUCAAGUUUAACUGGCAUUUAAGAUAUAUGCCAAAGGUUUUUCCCAUGAUGUUCCCUUUCCAAUGUCUUUCUGGAAGUCACACAUUGACCACUAACAACAGGAGAGAGGACAAAGAAAGGCAGCAAGAGACUAUUUCCAAUGCAAAAUAUGAUCAGAUGAUUCUUCUUCCAGUGUGCCCCAAGGAAGCCAAAAGAUUGGACACCCCUGGAAACUCAUCAGUCAGAGGAGAUGUGAGGGAGAGGCCUGAAGUGACCCUUUCUGGAAAUUCUUCCAUAUGAAAACAUGGGAGGAGGGAGGUGAGUGUUCUAUCCUGAUGCCUAUGAGUUAUGAAGAAAGAGAAGGAUUUUAACAAUCUCUUUAACAAAUCUUCUCAUUUAAUGGAAUAGGAAAAGAGGGCGAAUAAAUUGCUC